GGUAAGAUGGCUGAAUUAGGUGAUAGACUGUAAAUCUAUUUAUGGGUUAUUCAACCCUCUUACCA
rnacentral:tRNA from 1 species